AAGUCGUAACAAGGUUUCCGUAGGUGAACCUGCGGAAGGAUCAUUACCAAAUCCAAAUCCCAACCCCUGUGAACUUGUAUUGUCUGUCUUUGGGGGGAAGACCCUGUGUUUUUCCCCCAUAUUUAAUUAAACAACUUUUAAUCUUUUGUUGGAAUUUUUUUAUUAAUUUUAAUAAAUGACAACUUUUAACGGUGGAUCUCUUGGCUCGUG
rnacentral:misc_RNA from 1 species